rnacentral:rRNA from 1 species
UGGUGGAGUGAUUUGUCUGGUUUAUUCCGUUAACGAACGAGACCUCGACCUGCUAAAUAGUACUGGGUAGGCCUUGUGCCUACGCCAGAGACUUCUUAGAGGGACUAUCGGUGGUUAGCCGGUGGAAGUUCGAGGCAAUAACA